AAAAUGUAUACAAAUGUGUGUGAUUAAUCACAAUGUGUUAGUGUGUAAUCACCCUGAGACAUGCAUGCCUGUCUGUAAGAGUCAGAUCUAAAGCCACUUGUGAUUUGGAGAUGCAGCCUGCAGAUUCUGUCCAGAUUAUCCCAGCUGUCUUCACUAUAUAUCCAGGCUUCACUUAUCAAAUCUGUAAAAUUCAAGGCUGGUCCUUAAAAGUUCCCAACAAUGCAAAAACUGCAUAGCCACACAAGUCCCAGCGUUUCCCACCGCAGCAGCUGUGAAACGAAAGAGGAGAAAGGAUGAAUGAGUGUUUGCUUAUCGGCUCUCCGCUCUCCCCCAAGCUGGCGUUGUUCUUGGUAGCCAUGACAACGGGGAUAGUCCCAGCUUUGUAAAUACAGGCCCCAACACCCCCAAAAAGAAAAGAAAAAAAAAGGAUUGGGAUUCCCUGCGCAGACCAGGAAUCCCCCUAGCAGACUGAAGACACAGAGAGGAUUUGAAGUCAGUGAGUGUGUGUGUGGGUGAGUGUGUAAGUGUUCGAGCCUCGACUCGAACCAGCGCCUGUCUGUGCUUCAAGUUGCCAGGGGCCGGCAAGUGUUCUGCGCCGCCUGCCGGCCGUGGAAGCUGUACAAAUUUGUAUAUUUGACUUCUCUGAAUAUAAAUUAUUUUUGAAAAGGAAAAAUAAUAAUUUUAAUGUGAGGCAAAACAUGUAUGGUGCUCGAUAAAGAUGACACGCCGACUCACUUCUUCUUCUUCUUCUUUUUGCAAAGUUUGUUUUCAUAUUAAACCAGUGUCAGUGACGUCAUUCUAUGCGACUACCACAGUAAAGGAAAAGCCUGGAUCUGUACAUCUUUUUCUUUUAUUUUUGUUGUCUAAAACACAAAAAUCGCGAAACAGUCAGCUCACAAAGUUGCAGGUUGGUGGCAAUUUGGCAGAACAGCCAAUGACCUAAAACAUUUAAGUGCGUAUAUCUUGCCACAAGACAUGUGCGCUAAGCUAGCCAAAUUAGUUUCUGUUAGCGAAUCAAGUUCAAGCUCCUCACAUAUCAUCAUCCAGGGUACAGUCAUAUGCUCAUGAGGAGAUCCCACGCAGGUGAAGGUGCUGCCCACCCAUGAUACCAGCAAGGUGCGUGCAAGUGGAUCUGGCCUUAACACCACUGGAGCGCCCACCUCUCUGCCAGUGAAGGUCACCAUUGAUGCCAAAGAUGCAGGACCCAGAGGGGAAGCCCAAGAAGCAGAUAUCUGUGACAGCCAUGAUGGGACCUACCUGGUGUUUUAUGUGCCAGACAUGACUGACAGAUACACCACUCUCAUUAAGUACGGAGGAGACAAGAUCCCUUAUUGACCCUACUGAAUCAGGGCUCUGCCCACCGGAGAUGCCAGCAAGUGCACUGUCACUGAAUGUUGUCCAGUGGCCAGGUAGGACUCACUUCCUUGGUUGCUUAUACACUUUUAGUUUUCUUUGAAAACGGCCCUUUAAGUCACUUGAUCCAUGACUUGAGUGAGCACUCUCCAUUUGUUCAUUUCAUAGUUAUUGUAGAAACGAUAAGAAAUGAUGCUUUAGACUUUUUGUAAAUUAUAGUCAAACAUACAAUAAACUGAGGUAUUCCCUUUGGUUAACAGAGCAAUCCGAUAAUAAAAGUGGACAAAGCACAUCGAGUUGCCACAAAUAUCUUUGUAUAUUAUGCAGUGGGGCAAAAAAUGAGGUGACCAAAUAAUUAUUUUCAAUUC